UACGUAGGGUGCAAGCGUUGUCCGGAAUUAUUGGGCGUAAAGAGCUCGUAGGCGGUUUGUCGCGUCUGCUGUGAAAACUCGGGGCUUAACCCCGGGCCUGCAGUGGGUACGGGCAGACUAGAGUGCGGUAGGGGAGACUGGAAUUCCUGGUGUAGCGGUGAAAUGCGCAGAUAUCAGGAGGAACACCGGUGGCGAAGGCGGGUCUCUGGGCCGAUACUGACGCUGAGGAGCGAAAGCAUGGGGAGCGAACAGG
rnacentral:rRNA from 1 species